rnacentral:rRNA from 1 species
UACGUAGGGUGCGAGCGUUAAUCGGAAUUACUGGGCGUAAAGCGUGCGCAGGCGGUUCUGAAAGUCAGCUGUGAAAGCCCCGGGCUUAACCUGGGAAUGGCGGUUGAAACUACAGGACUUGAAUCUGGCAGAGGGGGGUGGAAUUCCACGUGUAGCAGUGAAAUGCGUAGAGAUGUGGAGGAACACCGAUGGCGAAGGCA